CAGGUUUCUAACAGGGCCACUCUCUGGUGAAACUGAAAGGUUUCUGUGUGAAAGUGCCUGACCACCACUGCCCAAUUCAGUUGCAGGAAUUUAGCCAAUUCAGAGGUCUUGUUCUCCAUAAUUUGGAAUUUUCCUUCGGAUUUGAUCAAGUUGGAUAGAGUUGGUCAAACCCAAUGGGAAAAAGAUGAAAACAACAAGAAACAGAAACAAACAGCAACAACAACAACAACAAAAACAAUGCAUUUAAUUAAAUGAAGAUGAGCUCAUGCUGGAGUAGGGUGGACUCUGAACCCAGUGGGACAAGCGUCCUUAUUAAGAAGAGGGAAAUCUGGACACACACAGAGCAGAGACCGCCGUGUGAAGAUGGAGGCAGAGAUCGGAGAGAUGCUGCCACACGCCACAAAUGCCUGGGGCUCCCAGAAACUACACGGAGCCUCCCCCAGCGGCUUCAGCAGGAGCAUGGCUCGGCCAACACUUUGAUCUUGGUCUUCCAGCCUCCAGAACGGUGAGUCGGUGAGUUUCUGUGGUUUAGGCCCCCCAGUUGUGGUUGUUUCUUACGGCAGCCCCAAGAAACCAAUACACUCCCCCGUCCACUUUCCACGGCAGAGUUUGGGCGUCACUGAAUCCCACCUCCACAGCAGGUUUUGCUUGGACUGCACAGUAUUUAUUGAUGCUGCUGUUGGUUUUAAUUUCUAAUGUGUGUGCCUGUAGCUGUACCACUCCUCCUGAUGACUCACCUGGCUCCUGCGGGCAUCUGAGAUGUGGUUUCUGCUCCACACUUCCUGG
rnacentral:lncRNA from 10 species